GUUCAGCUUGCGCCGGCUCUUCUCCAAACCGCGAGAGUGCGGAAGCGCGCGCCAGCACGGCCUGGAAACCACCUCCGACCAAACCAAGGUCAUGUCUGGAAAGAGCGCCAUGCACCUCGCCAAGUCGUGCCGAAUCGCGUGGAGAAGGUCCACAGUCCGGGAUACCCCUAAGUCGUUACCACCCGCGUGGACAACCGCCACCACCGGCCCCGACACAAACUUACGCAGGGCCACGAACUCUGGAUAAAUCUGCUGCCACCGGAGGCCCCUAAUGCCCUUCCACCGGACUCUGGCCACGUCCACCGAAAACCCCAAAUUCCAUCCGUAGGCCCGGCCUUCAGCUCGCCUAGCUGCCCAGUACACAUAGGAAUGCCCUAUAAUCCACACGUACCGGGGCCGACCACCUACAACGAGAAGAGGGUUACAGCAUAUGAGGUCGGAC